rnacentral:rRNA from 1 species
AUUGAACGCUGGCGGCAUGCUUUACACAUGCAAGUCGAACGGUAACAGGCCGCAAGGUGCUGACGAGUGGCGAACGGGUGAGUAAUGCAUCGGAACGUGCCCAGUCGUGGGGGAUAACGCAGCGAAAGUUGCGCUAAUACCGCAUACGAUCUAUGGAUGAAAGCGGGGGACCGUAAGGCCUCGCGCGAUUGGAGCGGCCGAUGUCAGAUUAGGUAGUUGGUGGGGUAAAGGCGCACCAAGCCGACGAUGUGUAGCUGGUCUGAGAGGACGACCAGCCACACUGGGACUGAGACACGGCCCAGACUCCUACGGGAGGCAGCAGUGGGGAAUUUUGGACAAUGGGCGCAAGCCUGAUCCAGCAAUGCCGCGUGCAGGAAGAAGGCCUUCGGGUUGUAAACUGCUUUUGUACGGAACGAAACGGUCCUGGUUAAUACCCGGGGCUAAUGACGGUACCGUAAGAAUAAGCACCGGCUAACUACGUGCCAGCCGCCGCAGUAACAC